rnacentral:rRNA from 1 species
UACGGGGGGGGCAAGCGUUGUUCGGAAUUAUUGGGCGUAAAGGGUGCGUAGGCGGUUUGGUAAGUCUUAUGUGAAAUCUACAGGCUCAACUUGUAGUCUGCAUGAGAAACUGCCGGGCUUGAGUAUGGGAGAGGUGAGUGGAAUUCCUGGUGUAGCGGUGAAAUGCGUAGAUAUCAGGAGGAACACCUGUGGCGAAAGCGGCUCACUGGACCAUAACUGACGCUGAUGCACGGAAGCUAGGGGAGCAAACAGG